UCUAAUAUGGCAGAUAAAUGCAAUGAAUUUAAGCUUCAUUUAUAAAGAACCUUCUUUUAUUAGAA
rnacentral:tRNA from 1 species